ensembl:lncRNA
UUUUUUUUUUUUUUUUUUAAGGGCCGCUCCUGUGACAUAUGGCGGUUCCUAGGCUAGGAGUUGAGUUGGAGCUGCAGCUGCCAGCCUACACCACAGCCUCCACCAUGAGCCCUGACAGUAUUCUAGUUGUCCAUCAACUUUGAUAAAUAUCUGAAAAUCAUCCAUAUAAAUUUUUUGUCAUUUAUAUUUAGGAAAAAAAUCUUCAAUUCUGUCUCAGGAAAAAACAAAACAAAACUGUGCUUGGUUAUCUAUAAGUGGAAACUCAUACAGGGAUUCUUUAAGGGAGUGCUUUCAGGAGAAGUCUUCAGGGACACAAGGAAAGCCAGGUGGUGCAGGAGAAGCUCAACAAAGGUGUGGUUGUCUAGCUCAGACUGAUUCCACGAGGGGCUCUGGAGCAUGAAUUGUACCACAAAAGUGUCCUGUAAGGACAGAAUCUCUCCUUGGAAGCCUUUCUCCCAGGAAUCUCCAGGCCAGGGAAAUCUCCUUGACUGACACAAAUUAUUCAUAAGAGGAUGCACAUGAGCCACUAGAAACCGCCAGAUGUUGGGGAGUGGGUGCAUCUGCCGAGGAAAGGAAGUCUAGGUAGGGCACCAUCUACUGGAUACAUGUAAGUCUGCCCAUGCAUGGAUAUUCCCCGAUUCUAAUGUCAGUGGCUGAAUAUAUCUUUUAUCGCAUUGCAGGACACAGUAAAUCACCUUGUCUCUGAGAAAAUCCUAUAGAGCAAUUAGGUAAUUGGCAUUGAUAAAUCGACCUGAAAGAAAAUGCCAAAAUAGAGGUUUGCUUGCAAAUCUAACAGUCUUGUGAAGCUUCCCUUCAGAAGCCCUCUCCCUCUACAUCCUCUUUUAUUCCCCUUCGUAGCUUCCUCUACCUCCUUCCUUUUCAUUUCACACAUCUGGGAGUUGUUCUGAGACCCAUUCGUACCUGGCUUUGCUGGAUACUAACAUGCUAGCUGAGGUGUAACUGAUAAGAUUCAAUCACAGGUGGNACAUUAGAAAUAUUUAUAGCAUAUUUGCUUAUCAAUCAAUAGCAGCCAAUCAGAACAUACAAUGAAUGGAGUUUGCCUACUGGUCCAGAUGUUAACCUUUAGUGGUCAAGUGUUUCAGAGGUGGAGGUAAGGGAGAAGGGGCUAAGGCAGCAGAGAUGGAGUGGUAGGGCCCUGGGUUAGGGGAUGCUUAGAGCAUAAGAUGAUUUUUUCAGUCUUCUGUGAAGUGUUUCAUUAUGGUUGUACCAAUUCCUCCUGAUUAAAUAUCAGAUUGGGAUAAUUGUUUCUAAUAUUAUUUGUUGUCAUUGUCAUGUUGCUUUAAGUAAAACCUUAAUAACAGUAGCUUUGAACCUUAUGACAGUCCUGCAAAUCACAGAAGUCAUCAUAAUCACAGCUAUAACUAAACCCCAAAUCAAAUCCUUGAAACUGUUGCAUCUAAUGUAAUGUAACUUCUGCAUCUAAUAUAACAUAAAACAGAAAGUUAAAUGGGAACAUAGAAAUAUCCUAUUGUAGGUCAUUGUUUUUAUAUCUUUUGACAGCAAGGUGGAUAAGAAUUUUCUAAUCAAAAGCUAUAACCUUGAAAAAAAUGCAUAGAGAGCAGGCUAUCUUAGCUGAUAGGUAGGUAGUCAGUGAUUUUUCUGUUCAUAACUUUUACAACUCUGGCACUUUAAUGCACAGUGCUACUAAUUUAUUUUUUUCUGGCCUCAUUUGUACAGUCUCUUAAAAUCCAUCACAGUUGAAAACAGAGUCUAGACAGUUAUUAUGAUACAAUCGGGAAGAAAGUUGGCAAAUUAAAAGAGAAAGGAAAGUGAAUAGAAGUGCUGAUUAAAAUAACAGUACGGUUUAUAUGAGGCUUCUUUAAAUUUGUAUUUUCCAAGUUUCAUCUUUGGAAGACUCAAAUCACACUGAAAUAUUUUAGCACUGGAAGUCAGCUUCAUUUUUCUAAGUCUAAAAAGGAAAGAAUAAGGAGUUGCAUUUAUUUCUCCAUAGAAAGGUUUCAGCAAACGAAUUAAAUAAAUAUUAUGGCAGUACAUUUGAAUAGUUUUCUUAUCAGCAAGGAAAGAAAAUGUUCGGGUAUUUUAUGUGCCUGUUGAAGAAGGGCAAGGAAGCCAUUGCUGAAUAAAUGGUUUUGUCAAAUCUGUAACCGAUUUGAGGAACUCAACAUUUUUAUGGGAACUAAAGAUGGGAAAUGCACAUAAUCCAGGCCCCGAACACAACCUUUCCCUUUAAGUUUCCAGAAGAACUCCUAUUUCAGUUUUAGAACCAUCUGCUCUUGUCUUUUGCCACUGAGUAUGUGGAUGGAUAAUUUCUCAGGGUGCCGUUCAACGAACAUGAAGAAACUAUUCAUGCCGUAAAGGGACCUGAAAAAGCUAAAGCAUAAAUGAUAGCAUCUGUGCAAGGUAUGGAGAAAGGGAGAUAGAAGCGUGCAAAUUAGUCACACACUGUCAACCCAGAAGUCCACCUUGCAGGCAAACAAACUGAAUGGGACCGUGAUUUACAGGCCACAGACUCAUCCCUGUCAAGGGGGUAGAAGGGAUGAAAAUUGGUCAGGUGCAUUCAUGCGGCAUGCCUGGGAGAGCACCAGCAACUCAAUCAAUUCUCUAAAAAACAAAGAACAAAAACAACUCAGCAUGAAUGAAAGGCUAAUUAAAACUUUCCAAUCUUAGAUGUGAAUGACUCAAUUUGCUAACAGCAAAUUUCAUUAAGUCCAAAGUAUCAUGAUGGAGAGUGUCUUUUCUUCACAGAGUUCAUAGCUUCUGGUCUUCUUUAGCCUCCGCACCACAUCCCCCAUCCCCACCCCCCACAGUAAAACACUGGCAGGUGAACCCUGCGGCAACCCUUUUCCGGAAGGUGGGCUCUGGUGCUUCAUCCAGGAAAGUCACAAGUUUGGCGAGGUGUGAAGAGAUUUAAUUUCACUAAAAGCCUAUAGCUGAGGUUGCAUUCCACGCAAAGGAUGCCUUCCGGACGAUUAAUGCAACUUUUACAUCCUCUUCAAUUUGGCUCUAAAAUUUCUCUUUCAACGACCAUAAUUCUCUGCUUGAUAACUUUUAACUUUCCGGAUGGACAGUUUUAAGUGUUUUUCACCACUUCAGACUAAUGUUGAGGAAGUUCUUCAGUAAGUCUUUGUUUGGGUAGAAAACCCAGGAUAAUGUGCCCUUGGUCUUAAGCAUAUUAAUUUUCAGGUCAUUUUGACCUUAGAGCACUACAGUUUUCAGACCUUAAGUCCUCAGCUAAGGAUUAAACCAGAGACAGGAGCUCCCGCUCAUGUUAUUUCUGUAUCUCCCACUGCUUCUCCUCCUCCUCACACCCAUCCGCCUUUCUCUUUCAAGGCCCAACUCAACUCCCACGUCUCCCUUUAAACCUUCUUGAAUCAUGCUAGCAUUUAUUAGCUACACUGCACUGCUCACGAUUGCACUUGGGAGCCUUCUUGCCUACGGGAGGGCUGUGCUUUUCACACUCCAGCCAGCAUUAGCAUCACUUGGAGGGCUCCUUAAAUAUAGAUAGCUGUGCCCUACCCUGAGUUUCUGAUUUAGGACAAGUGAGAAGGGAACUGAGGAUGUGCAUUUCUAACAGUUUCCUGGGUGGGGCUGAUGCUGCUGGUCCAGGAUUUCCAGGUUCUCUGCUCCAGGGACUGCCCCUUCCUCCUUCUCUGCUUGCCACCUUCUAACUCAUCCUUCAAGACUCCUCUUCCUAUCACCUCCUUGAAAGCUGCCCCUGGCAGAGUUAGGCUCUUCUCAGCCUGGAGUCUGACUCACAAGUUGGCCUACCUCAAUUAAGAUAGGGUAGCUGUCUUCGUUUUCUGGGCUUCCGUAAUAAAGUACCACAGGCCAAGGGGCUUAACAGACAGAAUUUAUUUUCUCAGAGUUGUAGAGGCUGGAAGUCUAAGAUCAAAGUCCAAGAUUGAAAAAGGCAUGUUCGGUUUCUUUUGAGGCCUCUCUGCUUGGCCUGUAGAUGAUCACCUGCUUCUUACGUCCUCACAUGGGUACAUCCCUGAUGUCUGUGUGUCCUAAUCUUCUUAUAAGGAUGCAGCCAAAUUGGAUUAGGACUCACCCUGACGGCCUCAUUUAACCUAAUCACCCCUCUAAAGGCCCUGUCUCCAAAUACAGUCACAUUCUAAGCUACUGAGUUGGGACUUCAACCUAUGAAUUUCAGGGGAACCACAAUUCAGCCCAUAAGAGUAGCAAAUUCAGAUGUGUAAAGAAACCUAGGGGAGUUCCCAUCGUGGCUCAGCAGAAAUGAAUCUGACUAGCAUCCAUGAGGACACAGGUUUGAUCCCUGGCCUUGCUCAGUGGGUUAAGGAUUCAGCGUUGCUGUGAACUGUGGUGUAGGUCACAGACGCGGCUCAGAUCUCACGUUGCUGUGGCCUGUGGUGUAGGCUGGUGACUAUAGCUCUGAUUUGACCCCGAACCUGGGACCCUACAUAUGCUGUGGGUACAGCCCUAAAAAGACGAAAAGACCAAAAAAUAAAAAAAAAAAA